UACGUAGGGCGCAAGCGUUAUCCGGAAUUAUUGGGCGUAAAGAGCUCGUAGGCGGUUUGUCGCGUCUGCCGUGAAAGUCCGGGGCUCAACUCCGGAUCUGCGGUGGGUACGGGCAGACUAGAGUGAUGUAGGGGAGACUGGAACUCCUGGUGUAGCGGUGAAAUGCGCAGAUAUCAGGAGGAACACCGAUGGCGAAGGCAGGUCUCUGGGCAUUAACUGACGCUGAGGAGCGAAAGCAUGGGGGAGCGAACAGG
rnacentral:rRNA from 1 species